GAUGAACGCUGGCGGCGUGCUUAACACAUGCAAGUCGAACGAUGAAGCCCAGCUUGCUGGGUGGAUUAGUGGCGAACGGGUGAGUAACACGUGAGUAACCUGCCCUUAACUCUGGGAUAAGCCUGGGAAACUGGGUCUAAUACCGGAUAGGAGCGUCCACCGCAUGGUGGGUGUUGGAAAGAUUUAUCUGUUUUGGAUGGACUCGCGGCCUAUCAGCUUGUUGGUGAGGUAAUGGCUCACCAAGGCGACGACGGGUAGCCGGCCUGAGAGGGUGACCGGCCACACUGGGACUGAGACACGGCCCAGACUCCUACGGGAGGCAGCAGUGGGGAAUAUUGCACAAUGGGCGCAAGCCUGAUGCAGCGACGCCGCGUGAGGGAUGACGGCCUUCGGGUUGUAAACCUCUUUCAGUAGGGAAGAAGCGAAAGUGACGGUACCUGCAGAAGAAGCACCGGCUAACUACGUG
rnacentral:rRNA from 1 species